ensembl:lncRNA
UUGCAUAGUUCCCCUUUCACAUGUGUCUGAUCUCUUUUCUGGUCCAUUCUUCUUUAGUUCCACCGACAGUCGCCUCUUGGGUCCCUUAUCAGUCGAUUGAUCCAUUAUGAAUGCAACAAUUGCCUCGCAACUGGCUGUUUAUAUCUAGCCGGUGCCAUGUUUGGGUGUGUGUCUGUGCCGUAAAGCAUUUUCGAAACUACAAUCUGACUACAUUUUCGAGGAUACUUCCGCUGCGUCACAUCCGGAAUGUCCCGGUCCGAGCAGAUCAAGUUGCAUAUGCGCUUUUUCACUGUAGAGGCGACAUGGGAAAAUGUCACACCCACCAAUCGACCCAGAAAUGGAUGCAGAACCAUCAGCAUAACUCUCAACCUGCAUACUUAAUGUAAUUUUGGCUAAAAAAGUUGCAUAGUGGGCCUUUAACUCCUACCAGACAAAAUAAUUAUGAAUGAAAGAAUUUAAUUCCUGGAUGUUUUCAGAGAUAUAAGAAACAGCCCUAUUAACUCUGACCCUAACCCCCCGGGGGGUGUUCCUGUGUCUCCUGUGCAGCUUCAGGCAGCAGUGCCGUAGACACUGCCCCCAGAGCACCUACGAGGACCCGGAGAGGAGGCUGUGCCAGCUCUGCAGCGCGCCCUGCACCGAGUGCAGGAGUGACACACACUGCCUGGCCUGCCAGACCGGACACUUCAUGAAUGACGGGGAGUGUGUGAAGCAGUGUCCCUGGCAGAGCUUCCCUGACGCCGAUGGGUGGCGCUGCCAGACCUGCCACAGCUCCUGCCAGUCGUGUCACGGGCCGCGCUCCACCCACUGUGACUCCUGUGUGGGCGGGAAGCCCUCGGUCCACGGCCAGUGCCCUUUGGUCAGCUGUCCAGAGGGCCAGUACGACAAGAGCGGUGAAUGCCAUUCUUGUGAUUCCUCCUGCAAGACCUGCUUUGGUCCACAAGCUUUGGACUGUUCAUCUUGUUAUACAGGUACAACAUAAACUACUGCUGUCAUGCCGCCAACGCAAAGGUUGUCAUUCAUGUAAUUUCAAACAUCUUUCUAAUCACAGGUCAUCUCCUGGACCAUGAGAGUUCAUGUGUAGAGCACUGCCCGUGUACUGAAGGAAGUACCGGAGCCUAUAAAGGACUGUAUAAUUUCUAAAGGGAUGUAAUCUGACUCAUGUAAUCUAUAACCAAAUAAUAUCUAAACCUGUGUACAUAUUUAGCUAAGAGUGAGAGGAGACCAAAGCUACGUUCAACAAUUUAAUACAGACAAUAAACUACCCUAGAUAUACACAUUGACAUAUAAACACUUCAAUACACACUCACACUCUACCUCCCCAAUGCUGUACCCUCCCUUUAACCCAAUCACACACCACACACACACGCAGACAGUCCGACCUGAGGUCCCUCGGUGGGCCUAACGAAUGUCCUCGUGCUCGUAGUGCGGCGCCGCUGGGUCGUUGGUGCACUUGGAGUGGGGGAGGGGAGAGGGGGUGAGUUGAAACUGCCGGAUACAAAGGGGGGCGUUGGAGAGGGGGGACACCUCCCUUGUAGUUGGGGUGAAGAUCGGCAGUGCUGCCUGGUAGGGGGCUUGAACCCGCCUCACGAACCUCGUCUGGAUCGAGGGAGACCAGCCUCUUCCUGGGUCCCUCUGGCGACUAGGCCGCGAGCACGUGCUCCUGGAUAGCUUAGCUCUUCGCUUAGCUCUCCGCUAGCUCUUCUCCACGAGAAACGCUAGCGGGCGAACGGACGGCAAACGCACCUCUGUCUGCCGAUACACCGUGCUGCCGACAGCACGAAACACACGAAUAUUCUAAUUCGCUAUAGUUCUCGACUUUACGCCCGCACCGUGCGGUUUCCAACUGCUGGUUACGAUACAACGAACCCUUCCCUCGUGGCCGACUACGCGAGACUGAUAAUUGACUGCGCGAGUGACCGUAUCACCCGUGGACUAAACCACUCCGCGCGCAGAUAGGUCUCAUUACGAACAAUACACAACAUGCCCGAACUGACAUAAUAAAAGGGCAAACAAAGAAAUGAGUAAUACAAUACCCCAUUAACAUAAAAUCAAUUAGUACACAACAGAUAAAAUG